rnacentral:rRNA from 1 species
CAGGGAUUGCCUUAGUAACGGCGAGUGAAGCGGCAACAGCUCAAAUUUGAAAUCUGGCUCUUUCAGAGUCCGAGUUGUAAUUUGCAGAGGGCGCUUUGGCUUUGGCAGCGGUCCAAGUUCCUUGGAACAGGACGUCACAGAGGGUGAGAAUCCCGUACGUGGUCGCUAGCUAUUGCCGUGUAAAGCCCCUUCGACGAGUCGAGUUGUUUGGGAAUGCAGCUCUAAAUGGGAGGUAAAUUUCUUCUAAAGCUAAAUAUUGGCCAGAGACCGAUAGCGCACAAGUAGAGUGAUCGAAAGAUGAAAAGCACUUUGGAAAGAGAGUCAAACAGCACGUGAAAUUGUUGAAAGGGAAGCGCUUGCAGCCAGACUUGCUUGCAGUUGCUCAUCCGGGCUUUUGCCCGGUGCACUCUUCUGCAGGCAGGCCAGCAUCAGUUUGGGCGGUGGGAUAAAGGUCUCUGACACGUUCCUUCCUUCGGGUUGGCCAUAUAGGGGAGACGUCAUACCACCAGCCUGGACUGAGGUCCGCGCAUCUGCUAGGAUGCUGGCGUAAUGGCUGUAAGCGGCCCGUCUUGAAACACGGACCAAGGAGUCUAACAUCUAUGCGAGUGUUUGGGUGUCAAGCCCGAGCGCGUAAUGAAAGUGAACGGAGGUGGGAACCCGCAAGGGCGCACCAUCGACCGAUCCUGAAGUUUACGGAAGGAUUUGAGUAAGAGCAUGGCUGUUGGGACCCGAAAGAUGGUGAACUAUGCUUGAAUAGGGUGAAGCCAGAGGAAACUCUGGUGGAGGCUCGCAGCGGUUCUGACGUGCAAAUCGAUCGUCAAAUUUGGGCAUAGGGGCGAAAGACUAAUC